AAGAAGAGAAAGAGAGAAGAGAUAUCUCGUCCACCAGGGCUCACAGGUGCACACAGGAGAGAUUGGGCCCACACUGUGCUUUAAAAACUUUUUGAAAUAUCUGAUGCCUGGUAAAAAUUUAAGAUGAGAGGCAAUUUCCCUAAUACUGAAAGAACACCUAGAAAUCAACACCAAAAAGAAAAA